GACGAACGCUGGCGGCGUGCUUAACACAUGCAAGUCGAGCUGAGCGGCGAACGGGUGAGUAACGCGUGAGUAACUGCCCCCCUCUCUGGGAUACCAGUUGGAAACGGCUGCUAAUACCGGAUAGUGGGGGAUGACUCGGGUCCAAUCGGUUUGUUGGUGGGGUAGUGGCCAACAAAGGCGACGACGGGUAGCCGGCCUGAGCGGGCGACCGGCCCCAUUGGGCUGAGGUACGGCCCAAACUCGUACGGGAGGCAGCAGUGGAGAAUAUUGCACAAUGGGGGAAACCCUGAUGCGGCAACGCCGCGUGCGGAAUGACGGCCUUCGGGUUGUAAACCGCUUUCAGCCAUAACGCGGUAGUGGCAGAAAAAGCACCGGCUAACUACGUGCCAGCAGCCGCGGUAAUAC
rnacentral:rRNA from 1 species